rnacentral:rRNA from 1 species
CUUGGUUCUCUUGGCGAGAGGGGGGGAGGGGAGAAUCAUAUGGCCGAACGGGCCGGUUACGGGGGAUACCCCGGGAAAACAGSGGUUAAACCCGCMAUGCUUUUUCUUGCAAAGGGGGGGAUUGAAAGACGUCUUGCUAUGGCACCGGCCGAUAUCGCAUUAUGUWGUUGGGGGGGUAAAGGCUCGCGGCCUCACGAUCCGUAGCUGGUUUGAGAGGAGCCRACUGGAAUGGGACUGAGAGCGGCCCCUACUCCUGGGGAGGYGGGGAGGGUAAUUUUGGACAAUGGGGGAAACCCUGAUCCWCCCMUCCCGCGUGGAUGAUGAAAGCCUUCKGGUUGUCUUUUCUUUUGGUCUGUUGUYUKGGUAUCCCCUACCUGYAGAUACUGCUGACGGCAUCUGCGUAAUAAGCACCGGSUAACUACGUAACURCSGGCCCGGAAAUACGRUWAUUGCAAGCGUUAAUCSGAAUUACUGAAUGUUAGGGCUGUGWAGGCGGYUCGGAGAUAAAUAUGUGAAAUCCUGWGRCUCCACCUUGCAACUGCRUUUUUAACUGCCGAGCUGGAGUAUGUUWGAGGGGGGUAGAAUUSCACGUGUACCAGUGAAAUGCGAKGAUAUGUGGAGGAAURCCGAUGG